AUUACUCUAUUCAUAAGAAUGUCCUUAACGAACAAUAUUACUCAACAUACAAAAUCACACGAAAUUAAUUUUGAUAAUUCAUCUAAUAUGCCCAAUGAAAAAUUGAAUUUGAAAUACAAUUACUAUUAUAUUAAAUCUUUAAAAGCAAUAACACAAUUAAUUCAUUUGUUUUUAGCUAUUAUUUGCCUGGCUCUGGUAUUAUCUGUAGAUCAUUAUACAUUCCAUGAUAAUAUUGAUACAUAUUCUAUAUUGGACACAUCAAUUGGUCCAUAUAUUAGAGUUUUUACCUUCAUAUUAGUUUACACACUUUUAUUCACUUCUGUAACAUUAUUUGUUCAUAUGUACAAUAUUCAUGUAUUUAUAAGCCAUGAAAUAAAUCUUAUAAAAUUGGAAAUGACACUAUACAUUAUAUUUACAGUUAUGUAUUUUUUAAUUUCUCCAAUAAUGAUUGGAAGCCUGACAUAUUAUCAUUAUCUAUUUGUUAAUAAAUCAGCAUUUCGGCAAUUAUUGAUAUCUAGUGUAUUGAGUUACCUAUGCAUGAUCACGUGCGCGAUGAUCGCUCUAGUGACGUGGAACCAGAAUUCAAUCCCGGCUUUUUAUUCUUCCAUUAUCAGCCGAGGUCGAAAUUUUAGGAGAUUCUCGAUAUCCACUUUAACCUCCAUAUAAAAGUAAAAUCAAACAUCCCCCCUUUGCCAAUUAGUGAAGAUAAGCAUCCCUAAUUAAACAAAACAGAUACAAACCCAAUAAGUAUUAUUUAAAAAAAAAUCUCACCUUAAUGUAUUUUUUUAUUAUUAUUUAUAUGAUGAUAACAACACUCUUAUCCUAAUGUUUUAUAAUGCAAAAUAUUUGUCGCGAGAAAAUAAAUUUAUAAGUGUAUCGAU